CAGCAGCCGCGGUAAUGCGUAGGGUGCAAGCGUUAACCGGAAUUACUGGGCGUAAAGCGUGCGCAGGCGGUUCUAUAAGACAGAUGUGAAAUCCCCGGGCUCAACCUGGGAACUGCAUUUGUGACUGUAGAGCUGGGGUGCGGCAGAGGGGGAUGGAAUUCCGCGUGUAGCAGUGAAAUGCGUAGAUAUGCGGAGGAACACCGAUGGCGAAGGCAAUCCCCUGGGCCUGCACUGACGCUCAUGCGCGAAAGCGUGGGGAGCGAACAGGAUUAGAUACCCCCGUAGUCCCUGUCUCUUAUAC
rnacentral:rRNA from 1 species